rnacentral:rRNA from 1 species
CGGGGGGGCAAGCGUUGUUCGGAAUUACUGGGCUAAAGGGCUCGUAGGCGGCCAACUAAGUCGGACGUGAAAUCCCCAGGCUCAACCUGGGAACUGCGUCCGAUACUGGAUGGCUUGAAUUCGGGAGAGGGAUGCAGAAUUCCAGGUGUAGCGGUGAAAUGCGUAGAUAUCUGGAGGAAUACCGGUGGCGAAGGCGGCAUCCUGGACCGACAUUGACGCUGAUGAGCGAAAGCCAGGGGAGCAAACGGGAUUAGAUACCCCGGUAGUCCUGGCCCUAAACGAUGAAUGCUUGGUGUGACGGGUAUCGAUCCCUGUCGUGCCGAAGCUAACGCAUUAAGCAUUCCGCCUGGGGAGUACGGUCGCAAGGCUG